rnacentral:rRNA from 1 species
AUUGAACGCUGGCGGCAGGCCUAACACAUGCAAGUCGAGCGAGUGGCGGACGGGUGAGUAAUGUAUGGGGAUCUGCCAGAUGGAGGGGGAUAACUACUGGAAACGGUAGCUAAUCCCGCAUACUAUCGGAUGCACCCAGAUGGGAUUAGCUAGUAGGUGGGGUAAAGGCUCACCUAGGCGACGAUCCCUAGCUGGUCUGAGAGGAUGAUCAGCCACACUGGGACUGAGACACGGCCCAGACUCCUACGGGAGGCAGCAGUGGGGAAUAUUGCACAAUGGGCGCAAGCCUGAUGCAGCCAUGCCGCGUGUAUGAAGAAGGCCUUAGGGUUGUAAAGUACUUUCAGCGGGGAGGCGUUACCCGCAGAAGAAGCACCGGCUAACUCCGUGCCAGCAGCCGCGGUAAUUC